GCACUGGUGGUUCAGUGGUAGAAUUCUCGCCUGCCAUGCAGGAGGCCAGGGUUCAACUCCUGGCCAGUGCA